CAUCAAGUAUUAUACCGUCUCCGGCAGAUCAUUUGUUUUCUUUAGGCCUCUCGCGUCCUUUAUCAUAGAUCUCUUUUAUUACUUGUUGAUCUUUUCUUCUUGAUUUUUCUCAAACAAAUUUCGACCGUACCGUUUCUUGAUCUACGUUUCGGUAACUCGUUUCUUUUCCCGCUUAAAGUUUCGUGCCAAUAUUGGCCAUGAAUUUGUUGUCUAUGUCGCAUGUUCAGAUUCUCGUUUUCGUUUCGGAUCGGAUAAGUUUGAGCGAUCCGAUCCGCAAAUGGGAAAUCGUUCCUCCUGAAUCCAGUUUCGUUUCCGAUCUUGGUUCUUGUUCUGUUCACAUAACAUCAGCUCAGUCUCAAUUUCUUAUCCGAUCGGGAAAGACCGGAAAUCUUCCCUCAUGAAUUUUACCGGUCGUGGCUCUGGAUCUGUUCAUACCGAAACGUAACAAUCUCGUUUCCAUUUCGGAUCGGGAAAGAUCGGAAUAUUCUCCCUCAUCAAUCCGGCAAGAAGAUAAACCGUCGCUAAUUGUUAACGGAGCAAUUGCUUAAUUUUGUUCGUACGAUUCUCUGCUUAAGUUGCUUGGAUUGUGAUGAAGACGAUGGAUGAUCCACAUAAUCAUGAAACUGAUACUCUCCUUGUAAGUUGUUAUAAUAAUUUCAUCAUGAAGACAAUGGAUCUAGGCUGACCGAGGGAAGCUAGGAAAGAGUGAGAUCUAAGGUAUAUGAUCUGUUAAUAUUAUGAGUGUUUGUUCUCAGACCUUUGCCAUUGCAGGUGCGCUUGCAUGGCAGGUCAAAAAAGCCCUAAUAAAUUUAUUUUUUUGGGUUUUGUGGGGGAAGAGGCACGGGUUUUUUUAUUCUUUUCCCGCCCGGCUCUUCCCCCUUCUGCGGGCUCUCUCUCUCUCUCUCUCUCUCUCUCUCUCUCUCUCUCUCUCUCGUUUACUCUCUGGCCUAUGCUUGCAUAUCUACAUUUGCACGCCAAUCAUAAUUUGGUGGCACGGAUAAGGCCAACAAGGAUACCAAUCUCAAUCUGGCUUCACGAAGAAGGUAAUUAACAGCUCUCGACCCACUUAUUGAUUCUUUAAUUUCAAAAACAAUGUGCAGAAAAUCUACAGAAAACAAAAUCAUUCUUACAAGGGUACAUUUGAUGAUGAUCGCUCUGUUUCACACACUUAUCAUAACAUAGUUAGUUUAACAACGAUCAAGGGAAACAUUCUCACCGGUGGUUCAGUUGGUGGUGGUCCUGUUUUCAUACACUAUCAAGAAAGCAUCUUCUGUAGGAAUUAGUUGCACACACUGACAUCAAGAAAGCAUUUGCUAUUUAUUUGUCAUAUUUAUGUUUCCUAAUUUCUAAAGAUAGAAAUGAGGUACUGAAGCUCUGUUGGAAGCCCCUUUUCAGUCUAUCAUGGUAAUCGGGAAAAUCUACAAAAUGGAAUGGUUCCCAAACAUAUAAGAUAGUUGUAACAAAAAACAUUCCAACAUUGUGUUAUAUAAAUUAUGAAGAUGUAGCAUUUUUUGCAAGGCCUUCAAAUUUCUAUUAUUUAGUGUGGAUCUCCGUUUAAUUUACAUGCUCAGGGCGCAUUUAUUUACCAUAUUCAUGUUUCCUGGUGGAUAACGAUAUAAAGAAACGCUUCUACUGUGCACUUAUGCCCCAUUUGAGUUUUACAUAACAACCAGGAGAACAACCAGGAGAAUAUCUCACUAAAUUGAAUCGAAGUUUUUAUGGGAAUUCUCAAUCUCUUGGAGCCGAGUGUUUUUUGUGCUAUUAAUUUGAUUUUCUCCUGAUUCGUAUGCUAUAUUUGAUAGUGUGAUUAUUUUGUGAAUUUGUGGAUGUGAUAUGUUAUCACAGUAUUCAAGGCAAAAUGUAUCAUUAGUUUGGUUUGUUUGUGUAAUGGCAUGGGGAUGGAUAGUGAUAGACAUGAUCCUUGGUGCUGUAAUUGGGGAUGGUCUGUGAGUAGUCUGUUCCAUACGUACCUAUAAAAACUUUACUUUCCUACCAGCUUGGAACGUGGUUGUCUCUCUAAGCAUAAUAAAAAUCGUAUGGUUCACGAAUCCUAAAACAAUAUGUUCCACCAUGGACUUCUCAUGUGGAAGAGCGCCAGCCUGUUUUAUGAACUGUCAUGUGGAAGAAUGCAGUUCGGAUCUGAGAGUUGGUUUACGACAAGCUUCUCAUGUGGAAGAGUGCAGAGGCUGUCCUGCUGGUUGACGCAUUGGAAGAACACAGUUUUGAGGCUGAAUAUAUAAUUGCUGUUCGGCUGUUCAUGGAUGGAGCACGUGAUGGAGAUGUAAUUUGUUGAUCUCUGCUAUUCUUGUGCUGUGCUCGUCCCUUUGUAAUUUGGUGAUCACCAGAUGCAAAAACAACAUAAUGGAAAUGCUCGCUUCUUUUGUGCUCUAGUAUUUGGUGAUCAGCAAAAGGCAAAGACAGCAUAACUCGUGUUGUUUUUAGAAAUUUGGUUUGGGCCUUGUCAAUUAUCCAGUGGUGUUUUUUUUUUUUUUUUUUUUAUAUUGAAGGUGAUUGAAAUUCAGUUUGUUUGGAUCAAAGGUAAAUUGCAACGAGUUCUGGAAUUGUCUCUAUUGGAACCCACUCUGCAUGCGUAUUUGUCAUCUAUUUGAAAUUAGCCGUAUUGUGUUGUCUGUUGUGUGGAUGCCCAUUGUUGCCUUGACUGGCGGUUCUUGUGGCCCUGCUGCGGUUCUUUUUGCCCUUCCUCGUCUCCCUCUCCCUAUAAGUAAUGCGUUAAUGUGACCAUGAGGGAGGGCUGUGAAAUGUUAUGUAAUUAUAUCGAUGCUUUUUGUUCCAAAUAAAUUAUUGUCAUUGGAGACGAUUAUUAA